rnacentral:tmRNA from 1 species
GGGGCUGACUGGAUUUGACAGCGGGUUGAGAUGGUACGUAAGCAUGCGGAGUGGCGGCUGUACACUCCAUAAUCCAUUCGGUCAAAAAUUUAUCUGGCGAAAACAAGUACGCUCUCGCUGCCUAAUCGAAGUACAGUAGAUUACUGGCUUUAUCCUCCCACCAGGUGAGAGGACGAGACAUCGCCCGGAGGCUGUUGUUCCGAAGCUCUUCGACAUGGCGGUGCGGUUAAAUCGGAAAUAGUCAGGCUAAAGCUCCGUCGGUCUGAUGAAAUUUUAGGAGAUAAGGUUGCAGUUGGUGGUCCGGGUCUUGCUGCAGCACGAAAACCGAAGGCCGGAAUAAGCAUGUAGAAAGCGUAUGGUUUCCCUGUUUGGACGAGGGUUCGACUCCCUCCAGCUCCACAG